rnacentral:rRNA from 1 species
CUUAAAGGAAUUGACGGGGGCCCGCACAAGCGGUGGAGCAUGUGGUUUUAAUUCGACGCAACGCGAAGAACCUUACCUGGGCUCGAACGGUUGACGACGCCCGCUAGAAAUAGUGGGGUUCCUUCGGGAACCGGCAAUCGAGGUGCUGCAUGGCUGUCGUCAGCUCGUGUCGUGAGAUGUUGGGUUAAGUCCCGCACGAGCGCAACCCUUGUCCUGUGUUGCUAAUCUUCGGAUGCACUCUCAGGAGACCGCCAGCGACAAGCUGGAGGAAGGUGGGGAUGACGUCAAGUCAGCAUGGCCUUUAUGUCCAGGGCUACACACGUGCUACAAUGGGCAGGACAAACCGUUGCGAACCCGCGAGGGGGAGCUAAUCGGAGAAACCUGUUCUCAGUUCGGAUUGCAGGCUGCAACUCGCCUGCAUGAAGCUGGAAUCGCUAGUAAUGGUAGAUCAGCAUGCUACCGUGAAUACGUUCCCGGGCCUU